UCGAGCUGGGUCUUUUUCAAAGGAAACCUACGUCUUUACUCUUGAAAAUGAAGAUCUAUAUUGCAUUGGCGGCUCUACUGGUUCCCCUCGUAAGAGCGCAACAUCCUACAGGAUUUAUAGGUGUGAGAAACCUUUAAAAUGAAUUGCUGAAUAAACAAACGAAAAAUAAUCGA